AGACCCGAAACCCGGUGAUCUAGCCAUGGGCAGGUUGAAGGUUGGGUAACACUAACUGGAGGACCGAACCGACUAAUGUUGAAAAAUUAGCGGAUGACCUGUGGCUGGGGGUGAAAGGCCAAUCAAACCGGGAGAUAGCUGGUUCUCCCCGAAAGCUAUUUAGGUAGCGCCUCGUGAAUUCAUCUCCGGGGGUAGAGCACUGUUUCGGCUAGGGGGCCAUCCCGGCUUACCAACCCGAUGCAAACUGCGAAUACCGGAGAAUGUUAUCACGGGAGACACACGGCGGGUGCUAACGUCCGUCGUGAAGAGGGAAACAACCCAGACCGCCAGCUAAGGUCCCAAAGUCAUGGUUAAGUGGGAAACGAUGUGGGAAGGCCCAGACAGCCAGGAUGUUGGCUUAGAAGCAGCCAUCAUUUAAAGAAAGCGUAAUAGCUCACUGGUCGAGUCGGCCUGCGCGGAAGAUGUAACGGGGCUAAACCAUGCACCGAAGCUGCGGCAGCGAACGUAUCACUUAAAGCGAUUCAGCGGGUUACGAUUGACGGAGCGAAGCGACGUCAAAGCGUAUACAAAGUCGAGUCGGUUUAAGGAUACGUUCGUUGGGUAGGGGAGCGUUCUGUAAGCCUGUGAAGGUGUGUCGUGAGGCAUGCUGGAGGUAUCAGAAGUGCGAAUGCUGACAUAAGUAACGAUAAAGCGGGUGAAAAGCCCGCUCGCCGGAAGACCAAGGGUUCCUGUCCAACGUUAAUCGGGGCAGGGUGAGUCGACCCCUAAGGCGAGGCCGAAAGGCGUAGUCGAUGGGAAAC
rnacentral:rRNA from 1 species